rnacentral:sRNA from 1 species
GUUUAGCCCCGAUAGAGGCGAUAUCCUUUUUUGUCAGCCGUGGCUGAUAAAAAAGAUAAAGCCGAUAGCGGGACGCUAU